GACAGAGGGUGCAAACGUUGUUCGGAAUUACUGGGCGUAAAGCGCGUGUAGGCGGCAGGGCAUGUCGGAUGUGAAAUCCCGUGGCUCAACCACGGAAGUGCACCCGAAACUGCCCAGCUUGAGUCUCGGAGAGGAAGGCGGAAUGCUUGGUGUAGAGGUGAAAUUCGUAGAUAUCAAGCGGAACACCGGUGGCGAAGGCGGCCUUCUGGACGAUGACUGACGCUGGAGACGCGAAAGCGUGGGGAGCAAACAGG
rnacentral:rRNA from 1 species